rnacentral:lncRNA from 1 species
CAUGGGUUGGAGUCCGAUGGGUUCCAGUCCGAGAACGCUUUAGAAGGAGAUAGGGAUGAUGACUUGAUCCAGUUGCAUAAAGCAAUGACUCCUCGAUUGGUAGAUAAGGUUGCAGCCGAAGAAGAGCAAGUUGGCAGCAGCAGUAGCAAGAAGAAGAGUUGGAGGAGGCGAAGGUGGCAGAGGAGGAGGUGGAGGCAUGGGGAUGAUGGAGUGAGGUGCUGCCUCGACCUCGGCAUCAUCAACUCCUCGGCUUCAAUUCCC